AUUGAACGCUGGUGGCAUGCCUUACACAUGCAAGUCGAACGGCAGCACGGACUUCGGUCUGGUGGCGAGUGGCGAACGGGUGAGUAAUGUAUCGGAACGUACCUUUCAGUGGGGGAUAACGUAGCGAAAGUUACGCUAAUACCGCAUAUUCUGUGAGCAGGAAAGCAGGGGAUCGCAAGACCUUGCGCGGAUUGAGCGGCCGAUAUCAGAUUAGCUAGUUGGUGGGGUAUAGGCUCACCAAGGCGACGAUCUGUAGCAGGUCUGCGAGGAUGGGCCGACACAAUGGAACUGUGCAACUGUCCAGCCUCCGACGGGAGGCCGCAGUGGGGAAUUUUGGAAAAGGGGGGCAACCCUGCUCCAGCCACGCCGCGUGAGUGAAGACGGCCUUCGGGUUGUAAAGCUCUUUCGGACGGGAAGAAAUCGCAUAGGCUAAUACCCUGUGUCGAUGACGGUACCGGAAGAAGAACCACCGGCUAACUACGUGCCAGCCGCCGCCGUAACAC
rnacentral:rRNA from 1 species